AUUGAACGCUGGCGGCAUGCCUUACACAUGCAAGUCGAACGGUAACAGGUCUUCGGAUGCUGACGAGUGGCGAACGGGUGAGUAAUGCAUCGGAACGUGCCCAGUAGUGGGGGAUAGCCCGGCGAAAGCCGGAUUAAUACCGCAUACGACCUGAGGGUGAAAGGGGGGGAUCGCAAGACCUCUCGCUAUUGGAGCGGCCGAUGUCAGAUUAGCUAGUUGGUGGGGUAAAGGCCUACCAAGGCAACGAUCUGUAGUUGGUCUGAGAGGACGACCAGCCAAACUGGGAAUGAGACACGGCCCAGACUCCUACGGGAGGCAGCAGUGGGGAAUUUUGGACAAUGGGCGCAAGCCUGAUCCAGCAAUGCCGCGUGCAGGAAGAAGGCCUUCGGGUUGUAAACUGCUUUUGUCAGGGAAGAAAUCUUCUGGGUUAAUACCUCGGGAGGAUGACGGUACCCGAAGAAUAAGCACCGGCUAACUACGUGCCAGCCGCCGCAGUAACAC
rnacentral:rRNA from 1 species